rnacentral:rRNA from 1 species
ACCGUACUCCUACGGGAGGCAGCAGUGGGGAAUUUUGGACAAUGGGGGCAACCCUGAUCCAGCAAUGCCGCGUGAGUGAAGAAGGCCUUCGGGUUGUAAAGCUCUUUUGUCAGGGAAGAAACGGUAGUAGCUAAUAUCUAUUACUAAUGACGGUACCUGAAGAAUAAGCACCGGCUAACUACGUGCCAGCAGCCGCGGUAAUACGUAGGGUGCAAGCGUUAAUCGGAAUUACUGGGCGUAAAGCGUGCGCAGGCGGUUGUGUAAGUCAGAUGUGAAAUGCCCGGGCUCAACCGGGGAAUUGCAUUUGAGACUGCACGGAUAGAGUGUGUCAGAGGGGGGGUAGAAUUCCACGUGUAGCAGUGAAAUGCGUAGAUAUGUGGAGGAAUACCGAUGGCGAAGGCAGCCCCCCGGGAUAACACUGACGCUCAUGCACGAAAGCGUGGGGAGCAAACAGGAUUAGAUACCCCUGUGUCCUUGAC